AUGGUCUACAAUAUAGUCACAUGUAUGGCAGUUAAGCUAGUAAACUUUAAGGAUAAAGGAAAAAAAUUCUUAAUGCAUGCCUACAGAAAGGAAUUGCUCGGUGAAGUGAUACUAAUCAUUCAACCUCUCCACAGAGAAUCAGUAGAAUCGAUUAAAAAUAUUUUUACUUCUUCUCUGGUGCAGCGGGAGGGCCCGGGGCCCUGGGCCCGGGGCUUGGGAGGCCUUGGUGGUUUCCAUGGAGGCUUCGGUAGCGGCCUCCGGGGUCGAGGUCGUGGCCGUGGUAGAGGCUGGGGUGGCGGCCCCGGGGCUCAUGGAGGCAAGGCCAAGACAAGGAAUGGAUCCCCAUCACCAAACUGGGCCGCCUGGUUAAGGACAUGAAGAUCAAGUCUCUGGAGGAGAUCUGUCUUUCCUCCCUGCCCAUCAAGGAGUCUGAGAUGGCUGACUUCUUCCUGGGGGCAUCACUCAAGGAUGAGGGGUUGAAGAUUAUGCCCGGGCAGAAGCAGAAUCCAGCUGCCCACCAGGUUCAAGGCAUUUGUAGCCACUGGCGACUACAAUGGCCAUGUUGGUCUGGGGGUUCAGUGCUCCAAGGAGGUGGCCACUGCCAUCCGGGGACCAUCAUCUUGGCCAAGCUCUCCAUCGUCCCUGUGUGGCGAGGUUACUGGGGGAACAGGAUUGGCAGGCCUCACACUGUCCCACGCAAGGUGACAGGCUAUGAGUUUCUGUGCUGGUGCACCUUAUUCCUGUCACCAGAGGUAUUGGGAUUGUGUCCGCUCUGUCCCCAAGAAGCUGCUGAUGUCUGGAAGUGAUGACUGCGACACCUCAGCCAGGGGCUGUACUGCUACCUUGGGCAACUUCGCCAAGGCCACCUUUGAUGCCAUCUCUAAGACCUACAGUUACCUGACCCCUGACCUCUGGAAAGAGACCGUAUUCACCAAAUCUCCUCAUCAGGAAUUCACUGCCCAUCUUGUGAAAACCCACUCCAAAGUCUCCGUGCAGAGGACCCAGACUCCAGCUGUGGCUACCACAUAGAAUUUUAUACAACAAUAAUAAAGUGAAUCACGCCUG